UCUUCAUGGGGCAUCCAAGACAAACACAGGUCCUGGUCAUGCUCAGCCUCUAGCUCCAACAUACCCUGGUAAAGAUGAUGAUGGAAGCAAAGCAGAACAAAAGAAAAGCAUCCAAGACAUGUUCUGCUAUUUCAAGUCUCUGCAUGCAAAAAUCGACAAUGAUUUAUCCUUGAACACUUCUUUAGUAACUCUUUAUGAAAUAUUUCUUCUGUCCUUUGAAGAAGUUUGAUCUGAAUUUCCUGUGUUUCACAGAACUAUUUUUAAACUGGAAGGAGAAAAGUUUGGAGGAGGGAGAAUAGAUCAGUUUCUUUUUUAAAUGUCUGCGUAAACUACUGGCCAAGUCAAUAGAAAUAACUAACAUUCAUGUAACUCUUUACAAAUUAGUUUCAUGUGCAUUAUUUAUUUUCAUUCUCACAUGGCCAUUUGUAUUUAGUGACUUGCCCAAGGUCAUAGAGUAUAGAGAGUUAAGUGGUGGUCCCAAACAAGGAAUGCCUAUGUCCUAAUACAGAACUAGGACCCCAUGCAUAUUAUCUUAUUUGGAAAAAGAGUCUUUGCAGAUGAAACUAAGAAUCUUGAUAUAAGAUCGUCUCAGAUUACUUGAAUGGGUUCCUAAAUCCAAUGACAAACAUCCUAAUGAGAGACAGAGGAGGAGAAGACAGACAAAGAGAAGACCAUGUGAGGAUGAAGACAAGAGACCAGGAGUUAUGUAGCUACAAGCCACUGAAGGCCUGGAGUCCCAGAAGCCUGAAGAAGGAUUCUCUCCUGGAGGCUGCAUUAGGGGUGAAUAGCUGAAUUCUACUGGAAGAUAAUCUGUGAGGAGGGGGUAUGGUCAUAUGGUGAUUUGGUCAUAUGGUGAUUUGCUCGAAGGCUAGUAAGUCCUUCAUGUGGUAACAGCAGCAUCCAG
rnacentral:lncRNA from 1 species